GGUACACCUAGUUACAUUCCGAACCUAGAAGUUAAGCCCAUAUACGCUGAUGGUACUUGGCUGGAAGCGGCCUGGGAGAGUAUGGAUUUGCCAAGC
rnacentral:rRNA from 1 species